GAUGAACGCUGGCGGCGUGCCUAAUACAUGCAAGUCGAGCGAACGGACGAGAAGCUUGCUUCUCUGAUGUUAGCGGCGGACGGGUGAGUAACACGUGGAUAACCUACCUAUAAGACUGGGAUAACUUCGGGAAACCGGAGCUAAUACCGGAUAAUAUUUUGAACCGCAUGGUUCAAAAGUGAAAGACGGUCUUGCUGUCACUUAUAGAUGGAUCCGCGCUGCAUUAGCUAGUUGGUAAGGUAACGGCUUACCAAGGCAACGAUGCAUAGCCGACCUGAGAGGGUGAUCGGCCACACUGGAACUGAGACACGGUCCAGACUCCUACGGGACGCAGCAGUAGGGAAUCUUCCGCAAUGGGCGAAAGCCUGACGGAGCAACGCCGCGUGAGUGAUGAAGGUCUUCGGAUCGUAAAACUCUGUUAUUAGGGAAGAACAUAUGUGUAAGUAACUGUGCACAUCUUGACGGUACCUAAUCAGAAAGCCACGGCUAACUACGUG
rnacentral:rRNA from 1 species